UGGAAGCAGGCCAGCUAAACCGCUCCCUCUCCACCAGCAGAUGGCGCAUUAACCACAUCACCCCUCCACAGUUUGCCUCUGGCUUCCUGUUACGGUAGAGGUAGAGAGGAGUGUAGGACGGCUUUCUCACAGAGGAUUUUGCUGUUGAAUCUUUUCGGUGCAUCGGUGAAGGUAAAAGAUGGCGCAUUAACCACAUCACCCCUCCACAGUUUGCCUCUGGCUUCCUGUUACGGUAGAGGUAGAGAGGAGUGUAGGACGGCUUUCUCACAGAGGAUUUUGCUGUUGAAUCUUUUCGGUGCAUCGGUGAAGGUAAAAGAUGAAUGCAGAGGAAGACCUUGCCUGGUGGAAGAGAAAGAAAUAGUUGCAUGAUA